GAUGAACGCUGGCGGCGUGCCUAAUACAUGCAAGUCGAGCGAACGGACGAGAAGCUUGCUUCUCUGAUGUUAGCGGCGGACGGGUGAGUAACACGUGGAUAACCUACCUAUAAGACUGGGAUAACUUCGGGAAACCGUAGCUAAUACCGGAUAAUAUUUUGAACCGCAUGGUUCAAAAGUGAAAGACGGUCUUGCUGUCACUUAUAGAUGGAUCCGCGCUGCAUUAGCUAGUUGGUAAGGUAACGGCUCACCAAGGCAACGAUGCAUAGCCGACCUGAGAGGGUGAUCGGCCACACUGGAACUGAGACACGGUCCAGACUCCUACGGGAGGCAGCAGUAGGGAAUCUUCCGCAAUGGGCGAAAGCCUGACGGAGCAACGCCGCGUGAGUGAUGAAGGUCUUCGGAUCGUAAAACUCUGUUAUUAGGGAAGAACAUAUGUGUAAGUAACUGUGCACAUCUUGACGGUACCUAAUCAGAAAGCCACGGCUAACUACGUG
rnacentral:rRNA from 1 species